UGAACUUGAUAUGCUACAAGAAGAAAAUGAAAAUCUUCUUGGAAAGCUUAGAGUUGCCGAAACGAGUUACGAGGAGGCAGAAGCUAGAGUGAAGGAGCUUGAGAAACAGGUUGCAGCACUUGGAGAAGGAGUAUCUUUAGAAGCAAAGUUGUUAAGCAGGAAGGAAGCCUCUUUGCGCCAAAGGGAGGCUGCACUGAAAGAUGCAAAACAAGCAAAGAAUGGGAUAGAUGCGGAACUUGCAAGUCUCCACUCUAAUGUUCAGAAAGCAAAAGAUGAAGCAGCUGCUGCUGUAGAUCAACUUCAGGGGUCUGAAUCUGAGGUUAAAGCUCUACGCUCUAUGACACAAAGGAUGAUUUUAACCCAGAAUGAGAUGGAAGAUGUUGUUCUGAAACGAUGCUGGCUUGCACGAUAUUGGGGUUUAGCAACUCAGUUUGGCAUUUGUGCAGAUAUUGCUGCUUCAAAACACGAGUACUGGUCAUCCUUCGCACCUCUUCCUUUUGAAUUGGUCAUCUCUGCUGGCCAAAAGGCAAAGGAAGAAUGUUUGGAAAAAGGUGAUGACAAUCCAGAGAUGGGAAAGUUUGUUCAGGAUUUGAAUGAUCUCACUGGAGAAGGGAAUAUAGAAAGCAUGCUUUCUGUUGAAAUGGGCUUGAAUGAACUUGUUUCUUUGAAGGUUGAGGAUGCCAUAGUGCUUGCACUGGCUCAACAACGGCGUCCAAACUCUGCUCGAACAUCGAUUUCAGACAUCAAAUCACCAAGUGAUCCGAAGUAUAUGGAGGCAUUUGAACUCAGCCCUGAGGAGUCUGAGGAUGUUCUUUUCAAGGAGGCAUG
rnacentral:misc_RNA from 1 species